AAUAUGCCGCUGAUGUUUCUGUGACAUUUUAUUGGCUUACGAGGCUCACGUGCUCCAAGGUUAGCGUGAGACUUUUGCGACAUUGUGGGAACGCCCAAUGCUUUACUUUUGGCGCCACAAAUUACUGCAGUGAGUGAGGACGGGAUUUUAACUUCAAGCUUUCGGCACUCGGCAGUUAUCAGCACAUCUGUUGUCACGGUUAUUCAUAGAAAUCUGGCCUGUACUUAAGAUGGAAUCUAAGAUGUAGUUGUAUGCAGGGUUCCAACGGAUUACAAACCACGUUCUACUCUGAGUUUGACCGACAUCUUCCUAGCCUGAUGACCCUAUUCAGAUAGAAGGCAGCCAGAACCGGGAAGACAUCAGAUUCUUUAAGUGAAAUCUUAAGAGUCCAUGAUGAACAGGAGUUCCAUGACAUGCACAUCAAGUGUGUCACUGUUGUUCAUGCCCUUCCGGUGUAUCUACGUGUGGAAAUCACUGGGUUUUUAAGGAC